GACGAACGCUGGCGGCGUGCCUAACACAUGCAAGUCGAGCGGAGUUAUUUUACUUAAUCCUUCGGGAAGCGGUAAAUUAACUUAGCGGCGGACGGGUGAGUAACGCGUGAGUAACCUGCCCAUAAGAGGGGGAUAACACAGAGAAAUUUGUGCUAAUACCGCAUAUUGAACCGGAACCGCAUGGUUCUGGUUUGAAAGAUUUAUCGCUUAUGGAUGGACUCGCGUCUGAUUAGCUAGUUGGUAAGGUAAUGGCUUACCAAGGCGACGAUCAGUAGCCGAACUGAGAGGUUGAUCGGCCACAUUGGGACUGAGACACGGCCCAGACUCCUACGGGAGGCAGCAGUGGGGAAUAUUGCGCAAUGGGGGAAACCCUGACGCAGCAACGCCGCGUGAAGGAUGAAGGCCUUCGGGUUGUAAACUUUUGUCUUUGGGGAAGAAAAAAAUGACGGUACCCAAGGAGGAAGCCACGGCUAACUACGUGCCAGCAGCCGCGGUAAUACGUAGGUGGCGAGCGUUGUCCGGAUUUACUGGGUGUAAAGGGCGCGUAGGCGGGCUUGCAAGUCAGAUGUGAAAUACCGAGGCUUAACCUCGGGGCUGCAUUUGAAACUGUGAGUCUUGAGUGUCGGAGAGGAAAGCGGAAUUCCUAGUGUAGCGGUGAAAUGCGUAGAUAUUAGGAGGAACACCAGUGGCGAAGGCGGCUUUCUGGACGAUAACUGACGCUGAGGCGCGAAAGUGUGGGGAGCAAACAGGAUUAGAUACCCUGGUAGUCCACACCGUAAACGAUGGAUACUAGGUGUAGGAGGUAUCGACCCCUUCUGUGCCGCAGUUAACACAAUAAGUAUCCCACCUGGGGAGUACGGUCGCAAGACUG
rnacentral:rRNA from 1 species